GCUGACUUACCACUCUGAAAGUGCCCAAUCUCAUCUGAUCUGGGAAGCUAAGCAGGGUCAGACCUUGGAUGGGAAGUAGGCU
rnacentral:rRNA from 1 species